CUAGAUUCAUCAGUGGUGUUAGAUGGGUGAGGAGGGACAGGUUUUCCUUUUGUUACUUGUUUGUUUUUUCCUGUCACGAACUGGAUGAAGAAUCAGCCUACUGAGGGUCUCCACGGAGGUUAAGCAGCAGCCAGUAUUGAGCUAGUAUCCGCUAUCCUUUGGAUCUCCGAUGUCCUUAGAGGCCCAUUGGUAUUUGUCACAGUGAUGAAAAGCUAACACAGAUCCCUCCCCCACUCUUUAAAGAGAAGCACACAAAAUGUUACCUUUGAUUUUGAACUUGGAGAAAAUGUCAGAUAAAUAGGUACAUUGAAAAUAGUCAAGCAGAAGAGUAGUCACUAUUUUACUUGAAUGUGAAGAAUCAUUCAGCUAAUGAACUGCGGUUUACCAAAAGCAAUUUUUCUAAGUAUAAUUUGGGCUUCAUAAAGAGGUUUAGUGAUCGCUACAAAACCAGGAAUCCAAAUUCUACAGAAGCUGGUCACCCCAAGAAACUCCCUCAGCUGUCUCUUAUCUUGUUCAUCUUCCCUCUUAGCCUGUUCCUUCUCUCUUGCUGACUCUCUAUUCACAUACACUUUCCUAGCCAAUUGUAGCAACUGUGUUAUAUUCAUACCCUCCCAAGUUUCUUGCUUUUGAAUUUGCCUUCUAAUAUCCUGAGCUGACUGGGUCACAAAGUCAUAUUGAUUAACUGGUGGUUAUCAGGAACAGCAGGAUCAAAUGGUGUAUACAUUCUGUAAACUUUACAGAACUACUCAUAAAAUCUCUCAGGGCUCCCAUUGGGCUCCUACGAUGUUUCUAGCACUUUAAUCAUAUUUGUAGGCCUUUUACUCAUGGCUCGUAUCCCUGCCAGGAGGGCCAUCUGAUAAUUGCUUAAGCUGUCCUGGCCUCCUGGGGUGUUGGGGUUCCAAUCGGGCUGUUCAUUCACUGGAAAUUGCUGUUCAUGUCAAGCAUCUGGAUUUUGUGUGCCUGCUGGCAUUCUAGGAGCAUUGAUCUUUUUAAUUUCUCCUAAAACUGUAUUUCUUUAGAAGUUAACAAAGUUCUUUACAGUCCUCCCAAUUAGGACAAUGGGUAGCAAAGAUGGAAUCAAAUAAUUGAAGCAUUUUGGAGGGGUCUUGGCAGAGAAUAAAUGACCUUCUUUUUCUCUAGA
rnacentral:lncRNA from 1 species